CCUACGGGCGGCAGCAGUGGGGAAUAUUGCACAAUGGGGGAAACCCUGAUGCAGCGACGCCGCGUGAGUGAAGAAGGAACUCGGUAUGUAAAGCCCUAUCAGCAGGGAAGAAAAUGACGGUACCUGAGUAAGAAGCCGCGGCUAACUACGUGCCAGCAGCCGCGGUAAUACGUAGGGGGCAAGCGUUAUCCGGAGUUACUGGGUGUAAAGGGGGCGUAGACGGCAGUGCAAGUCUGGAGUGAAAGGCGGGGGCUCAACCCCCGGACUGCUGUUGAAACUGGACGGCUGGAGUGCAGGAGAGGUAAGUGGAAUUCCUGGUGUAGCGGUGAAAUGCGUAGAUAUCAGGAGGAACACCAGUGGCGAAGGCGGCUUACUGGACUGUAACUGACGUUGAGGCUCGAAAGCGUGGGGAGCAAACAGGAUUAGAUACCCCUGUAGUC
rnacentral:rRNA from 1 species